CCUACGGGUGGCAGCAGUGGGGUAUAUUGGACAAUGGGCGAAAGCCUGAUCCAGCCAUGCCGCGUGUGUGAAGAAGGCCUUCGGGUUGUAAAGCACUUUCAGUGGGGAAGAAAGCCUUGGGGCUAAUACCCUCGAGGAAGGACAUCACCCACAGAAGAAGCACCGGCUAACUCCGUGCCAGCAGCCGCGGUAAUACGGAGGGUGCGAGCGUUAAUCGGAAUUACUGGGCGUAAAGCGCGCGUAGGCGGUCUGAUAAGCCGGUUGUGAAAGCCCCGGGCUCAACCUGGGAACGGCAUCCGGAACUGUCAGGCUAGAGUGCAGGAGAGGAAGGUAGAAUUCCCGGUGUAGCGGUGAAAUGCGUAGAGAUCGGGAGGAAUACCAGUGGCGAAGGCGGCCUUCUGGACUGACACUGACGCUGAGGUGCGAAAGCGUGGGUAGCAAACAGGAUUAGAUACCCGAGUAGUC
rnacentral:rRNA from 1 species